UCCCUAGUAGCUCAGAUGGUAAAGAAUCUGCCUGCAAUGCAGAAGACCCAGGUUCGAUCCCUGGGUUGGAAA
rnacentral:tRNA from 1 species